rnacentral:rRNA from 1 species
UACGAAGGGGGGCUAGCGUUGUUCGGAAUUACUGGGCGUAAAGCGCACGUAGGCGGCCAACUAAGUCGGAUGUGAAAUCCCCAGGCUCAACUUGGGAACUGCAUCCGAUACUGGAUGGCUUGAAUUCGGGAGAGGGAUGCAGAAUUCCAGGUGUAGCGGUGAAAUGCGUAGAUAUCUGGAGGAAUACCGGUGGCGAAGGCGGCAUCCUGGACCGACAUUGACGCGUGAGGAGGCGAAAAGCUAGGGGAGCAAACGGG